rnacentral:rRNA from 1 species
GGAGGUCCGAACCCACGAGCGUUGAAAAGCUCGGGGAUGACUUGUGGGUAGCGGUGAAAUUCCAAUCGAGCCCGGAGAUAGCUGGUUCUCCCCGAAAUAGCUUUAGGGCUAGCCUCAAGGUGAGAGAUACGGAGGUAGAGCACUGAAUGUCCUAGGGGGUAUUGCACCUACCGAAGACUAUCAAACUCCGAAUGCCGUCAUCUUAUACUUGGGAGUCAGACUGUGGGUGAUAAGAUUCAUAGUCGAAAGGGCAACAGCCCAGAUCGUCAGCUAAGGUCCCUAAAUGUAAGUUAAGUGGUAAAGGAUGUGGGAUUGCACAGACAACCAGGAUGUUGGCUUAGAAGCAGCCACUCAUUCAAAGAGUGCGUAAUAGCUCACUGGUCGAGUGAUCCUGCGCCGAAGAUUUCCGGGGCUAAAACUUACUACCGAAGCUACGGCAUCAGUAAUGAUGGGUAGGGGAGCUUCCCAUACGGGUUGAAGCAUGACCGUAAGGACAUGUGGACAGUAUGGGAGUGAGAAUGGUGGCAUGGGUAGCGAGAGGUGGGUGAGAAUCCCACAGGCCGUAAACCCAAGGUUUCCAGGGGAAGGGUCGUCCGCCCUGGGUUAGUCGGGACCUAAGCUGAGGCCGAAAGGCGUAGGUGAUGGACAACAGGUUGAUAUUCCUGUACUACCGAUAACCGUUUGAGAGAUGGGAUGACACAGUAGGAUAAGCUAAGCACACUGUUGGUUAUGUGUGCCCAAGCAUUGAGGCAGUCAAAGUAGGCAAAUCCGCUUUGAUAAUGCUGGGAUGUGAUGGGGAGCGAAAUUUAGUAGCGAA